AAUCCUCCCUUCAGUGUUUGCUGAAGUUAUCUGCAUAAGAAUUAAUUCUUCUCAAAAGAGCCUCAUUUAGGCAAGAGUGGCCCUAAUCUCUAGGGACUGACUUGGCAGUACAGAGGAGCAGCAACAUUAGCCUGAGCAUCAGCAGUGUCCUGAAGACAGGCAGAAAAGAGAAGAUUCCAGUUGUGGCAGAAACUGUAUCUAAUAUUAUUGACUAGAACCUGCCUUCUGUGAGUGCAACGCUCCGCCUGUUGCCUAUGUAUUUCUGUGACUCUCAGGAGCACUGAAACCUACAGAACAUGGGGAACUCGUGUGAUUCAUCCCAUUGGAACUGGGUGGACAGGAACAAGCCCUGCACUUAAUAUUGCUCUCUGUGGGACAGGACUGUAACCAUCCAGUCAUGUGAAUUUUCAGCCCACCCAGCUUGACUGAGUGUAAGAAUUUGUCUGGAGGCAUCC
rnacentral:lncRNA from 1 species